rnacentral:rRNA from 1 species
UACGGGGGGAGCAAGCGUUGUUCGGAUUUACUGGGCGUAAAGGGCGCGUAGGCGGCCAGCACAAGUCAGUUGUGAAAUCUCCGAGCUUAACUCGGAAAGGUCAACUGAUACUGUGCGGCUAGAGUGCGGAAGGGGCAACUGGAAUUCUUGGUGUAGCGGUGAAAUGCGUAGAUAUCAAGAGGAACACCUGAGGUGAAGACGGGUUGCUGGGCCGACACUGACGCUGAUGCGCGAAAGCCAGGGGAGCAAACGGG